rnacentral:misc_RNA from 1 species
GUAGUCACCCGGGUUGCCGCAAGGCCUCUCGGGUAACCUACCACCCUUUGUUUAUUACACUUUGUUGCUUUGGCAAGCCUGCCCUCGGGCUGCUGGCUCCGGCCGGCGAGCGCUUGCCAGAGUCCACCUAAACUCGUUUAAUUAGUGAUGUCUGAGAAAAAAUAAAUAGCAAAAAACUUUCAACAACGGAUCUCUUGGUUCU